AAGCGCUGGCAACCAGACUCGAGCGCGGUGUUCCCCCUGGCUUCUGCCUGGGUUAUUUCACCGUGACCGGGCCAUCAUCAGUUUUGAGGGCUGGUUAAAGAUUCGAGGAAUGUACUCACUCCUUCGGGGGUGAACUUAUAGCCUUGGAUGUCAUGCAGCCUCUCGGGACUGAGGAACGCGCUUCGGCGAGGAUGAUGGCGUAAUGGUUGUCAGCGA
rnacentral:rRNA from 1 species